rnacentral:rRNA from 1 species
GCAGUCGAACGGCAGCACGGGCUUCGGCCUGGUGGCGAGUGGCGAACGGGUGAGUAAUACAUCGGAACGUACCCAGAAGUGGGGGAUAACGCAGCGAAAGUUGCGCUAAUACCGCAUACGUUCUACGGAAGAAAGUGGGGGAUCUUCGGACCUCAUGCUUUUGGAGCGGCCGAUGUCUGAUUAGCUAGUUGGUAGGGUAAAGGCCUACCAAGGCGACGAUCAGUAGCUGGUCUGAGAGGACGACCAGCCACACUGGAACUGAGACACGGUCCAGACUCCUACGGGAGGCAGCAGUGGGGAAUUUUGGACAAUGGGCGCAAGCCUGAUCCAGCAAUGCCGCGUGAGUGAAGAAGGCCUUCGGGCUGUAAAGCUCUUUUGUCAGGGAAGAAACGGCUGAGGCUAAUAUCCUCGGCUAAUGACGGUACCUGAAGAAUAAGCACCGGCUAACUACGUGCCAGCAGCCGCGGUAAUACGUAGGGUGCAAGCGUUAAUCGGAAUUACUGGGCGUAAAGCGUGCGCAGGCGGUUUUGUAAGUCUGUCGUGAAAGCCCCGGGCUCAACCUGGGAAUUGCGAUGGAGACUGCAAGGCUUGAAUCUGGCAGAGGGGGGUAGAAUUCCACGUGUAGCAGUGAAAUGCGUAGAGAUGCGGAGGAACACCGAUGGCGAAGGCAAUCCCCUGGGCCUGCACUGACGCUCAUGCACGAAAGCGUGGGGAGCAAACAGGAUUAGAUACCCUGGUAGUCCACGCCCUAAACGAUGUCAACUGGUUGUUGGGAAUUAACUUUCUCAGUAACGAAGCUAACGCGUGAAGUUGACCGCCUGGGGAGUACGGCCGCAAGGUUGAAACUCAA